CCGCUUUUUUUAGGAUCACCUCCACCGCUUAAGUAUAUCCAUCAAUCUCUCUUUCUCAUCCCCAUCUAUCUGCAUCUGUGCUUCACACAUAUGCACAAAGCGAAAGAGAGAAAAAGAGAGAGUGGAAGACACGGAGCUAUCGUGUGAGAAGAGCGAGCGAGCGAGCAGCCCAGCAAGCUCAACGACCACUUCAGGGGCCAGAGGCGGAGGAGGUGUGGUGCAGUGCGCACUGGGAGGCAGCAUGGCCAUGAAGGGCGCGGCUGGUCGUGCUUGCCGGGGAAGUAGGGGCCCUGAACAGCGCCGGGGAUUCAGGCGUGGGGCGUGCCAGGAGCCUGAGGGGCGAUGGCGUGGAGGAUCUCAAGGGGUGCAUGGAUCUGGGGUUCGAUUUGCAGCAGCAGAACCCCCACCCCUCCAACCCCGCCGGAAGCAACACAACUCCACCACAACAAUUGUAUCGCCCGCGUCAAGUCGCCAGAACCUGUGGACCAACGCGCGCCGUUGCGACCUUGCACCCUCGUCCGACCUUCUCCGCUCCUAGAUUUGGAGCGAGGUGGGACUAAAUCACGACAUGGAGAUUGAGAAGGUUACAACGAAGGAGGUAGGAGAGGACUCGCGGCGGCGGACAGGGUCACAGCGGCGCCGUUGCUGGAAAGCGAGCGCCUGGACAAGAUAAAACAGAGGAUUGCGGAUUGAAUUCUUACAAAUGUAGUUUUUUUUUGUAAAAAGCGAAAUAUUUUCUCAGAUUCACUCAAAAAGGGACUGUGGGUUGAAUUUUCA